rnacentral:lncRNA from 1 species
CAGGGAAGUCGCACUGUGUUGGAGGUGCAGCUCGCUUAUAUGGACACUAGGUGAGGUGAGGGCGGAGUCGGGGUGGGGCAAGGGCGGAGUUAGUUAGGUUUCCUUUUCCUGAGUGUGACGCGCCUUAGUGGGCACACGUGCUAGCCGGGAUGGUGGGAACGGGGGGAAGAUGAACCCAGAAAUGCUGAGUCAGGGUGGCCAAGAUGGUUGCCUGUCGCCAUCUUGGGGCCUUCACCAGAGUCCAAACAAAAAGCUAAGCUAGGGCCUGGUUCUGCUCCCAGUCUAGCAUUGGAACCACUUCUAGGAACGUUUCUUGCUGAGUCAGCUUGUCAUACAGAUCCUGGUCUACAUUUUGAACCUUACUUUUGAGGUGAAAAGCUCAGCUAGGUCCUGGCUCUGGUCCCAGUCUAGCAUUGGAACCACUUCUAGGAACGUUUCUUGCUGAGUCAGCUUGUCAUACAGAUUCUGGUCUACAUUUAGAACCUUGCUUUUGAGGUGAAAAGUGAAAGGCAAUGGAAGGGUUCCAUAGACAAAAAGGGUCGAGAGGCAGGGCAAAGAAUGCAAAAGUUCCUUUAUUAAGCUCUUGGACGAGGUUCACUGGUCCGCAGGGGAGGGCCGGGGAAGUCGCACUGUGUUGGAGGUGCAGCAGGCUUAUAUGGACACUAGGUGAGUUAGGGGCGGAUUCGGGGUGGGGCAAGGGCGGAGUUAGUUAGGUUUUAUUUUCCUGAGUGUGACACGCCUUAGCGGGCUCACGUUCUUGCCGGGAUGGCGGGAACGGGGGGAAGAUGAACCCGCUAAUGCUGAGUCAGGGUGGCCAAGAUGGUUGCCUGUCGCCAUCUUGGGGCCUUCACCGGAGUCCAAACAAAAAGCUAAGCUAGGGCCUGGUUCUGGUCCCUGUCUAGCAUUGGAACCACUUCUAGGAACGUUUCUUGCUGAGUCAGCUUGUCAUACAGAUCCUGGUCUACAUUUUCAACCUACUUUUGAGGUGAAAAGCUAAGCUAGGGCCUGGUUCUGGUCCUAGUCUUGCAUUGGAACCACUUCUAGGAACGUUUCUUGCUGAGUCAGCUUGUCAUACAGAUCCUGAUGUGCAGCAGCAAAUUGCUCUGGCUCCGGGGGCAGGUCUCCAGCUGAAUGUGUGCCUACGAAUGGAAUCAAAGUCUCAUCAAAAUCUCAGUCAGUUCCUGAGGCAGAAGAGAUGGGUGUGUCUUAUCCAAGAUUUCUCUGGCUCCAGGGGCAGGUCUCCAGCUGAAUCUGUGCCUACAAAUGGAAUCAAAGUCUCAUCAAAGUCUCAGUCAGUUCCUGAGGCAGAAGAGAUGGGUGUGUCUUAUCCAAGAUUUCUCUGGCUCCAGGGGCAGGUCUCCAGCUGAAUCUGUGCCUACGAAUGCAAUCAAAGUCUCAUCAAAGUCUCAGUUCCUGAGGCAGAAGAGAUGGGUGUGUCUUAUCCAAGAUUUCUCUGGCUCCAGGGGCAGGUCUCCAAUGCAAACAAAGUCUCAUCAAAGUCUCAGUUCCUGAGGCAGAAGAGAUGGGUGUGUCUUAUCCAAGAUUUCUCUGGCUCCAGGGGCAGGUCUCCAGCUGAAUCUGUGCCUACAAAUGGAAUCAAAGUCUCAUCAAAGUCUCAGUCAGUUCCUGAGGCAGAAGAGGACAUGAGACUUAACAACCUGCUAAAAAUGAGCUUUUGGGACCUACCCAUCAAGGAAUAAACUGUCCUCGCCAUGAGAGAUCAAAUGAAACCUGAGACCAGAGACUCAUUUUCUUGUAAAAUGCUUUCUCCAACAGAUUUUUAAAAAGAAAAGGGGGGAAAUGUGAAAGGAAAAUAUCUGUGGUCCCCAAAAUCACGAAGGAAAACUCAAGCCGGGAACUGCUUAGGGCAAACCUGCCUCCCAUUCUAUUCAAAGUCACUCCUUUGCCCAAUCAGAUAGAUGCUUAUCUGAUUUGCCUCCUUUGGAAAGGCUGAUCAGAAACUCAAAAGAAUGGAACCAUUUGUGUAACAGCCAUCUGUGACCUGGAAGCUUCCUUCCCACUUCAGUCUUCCUGCCUUUGCUUCAAGUUGUCCUGUCUUUCCAGAUGAAGCAAUGUACUUCUUAACAUAUAUUGACUGAUGUCUCAUGAUGUCUCCCUAAAUGUAUGAAACCAAGCUGUGCCUGACAACCUUGGACAUAUUUUGUCAAGACUUCCCUGAGGCUGUCAUUGGUGCAUCCUCAACCUUGGCAAAAUAAACUUUCUAAAUUAACUGAGACCUGUCUCAAGUUUAGGGGGUUCACAGUGGGGGGGGCAAUUCAGUCUGGGAGAGAAGGCUUUAAUCCGAGUGAAGAGCCCUUUGCACUACUAGCCUGCGAGGAGGCUGAACUGUCUUCCUGCCUUGACUUAACACAGCCGUUACCAUAGAAAUUACAGCGCCACUCUUCAGAGGUCUACCCUGUGUGCACACAUGGACAAGAGGUUUAGGUUGUUAAAGUCAGCAUAUUAAACAAUUUCCUGAAAUGCGGCUGUAACUAGAACCCAGCUGACUUCCCCCACUGCCAUUCUUACCUAUUUUAUUGCUCAUUGUCUGGCACAAUCAAUAGCAUGUGAACGCCAAGCAGGUGCUUCAUCUUAUUCCAGUGCCUAGAAUAGGCAUAUGUUGCAGAUUAAUGGUUUUAAAUGGAAGGGAUUCCAAGACUCACUUCAUCAAGGGGUAGAUCUACUGUUAUAAUCAGAUUUCUGAAAUCAGUGCUGACUUCCUCUCACAUUUCAUGGGAAGCUAGAUUUCUUAAAGGUUAAAGUUUCCUUGAUGGGUUUUAUUUAAAUUGAAUUAAAAUAAUUAUUUUACAGAGAAAAACCUCGAAACACUUUGCAACUUUGGGGUGAAAGUUAAAUAAAACAUGCUAGCCCCAAAUUAAGUUCCCACUGAAAUGAAUGUUUUAAAAAAAAUUCUGGCCGGGCAUGGUGGCUCACUCCUGCAAUCCUAGCACUUUGGGAGACUGAGGUGGGCAGAUCACAUGAGGUCAGGAGUUUGAGACCAGCCUGGCUAACAUGAUGAAACCCCGUUUCUACUAAAAAUACAAAAAAUUAGCUGGGUGGAUAUUGCGGGAACCAGCCCCCAAUAUUUCAACGUAGGUUCUUUUCUAUUUUCCCUAAGUGUCAGCCGGUCUGAGAAAUAAAGGGAAGGAGUACAAAAGAGAGAAAUUUUAAAGCUGGAUGUCCGGGGGAGACAUCACAUGUCGGCGGGUUCUGUGAUGCCGCCCAAGCUGCAAAACCAGCGAGUUUUUAUUAUGGAUUUCAAAAGGGAGGGAGUGUAUGAAUAGGGUGUGGGUCACAGAAAUCACAUGCUUCACAAGGCAAUAAGAUAUCACAAGGCAAAUGGGGGCAGAGCAAGAUCACAGGACCAGGGUGAAAUUAAAAUUGCUAAUGAAGUUUCAUGUCCCACUGGGCACACAUUGUCAUUGAUAACAUCUUAUCAGGAGACAGCGUUUGAGAGCAGACAACUAGUCUGACUAAAAUUUAGUAGGCAGGAAUUUCCUUAUCCUAAUAGGCCUGGGGGUGCUAGGGGAGACCGGGGCAUAUUUCAUCCCUUAUCACAACUGUAUAAGACAGACAUUCCCAGAGCGGCCAUUUUAGAGACCUCCCCCUAGGAAUGCAUUCUCUUUUCUCAGGGCUGUUCCUUGCUGAGAAAAAGAAUUCAGCAAUAUUUCUCUUAUUUGCUUUUGUAAGAAGAGAAAUAUGACUCUGUUCCGCCUGGCUCCCAGGCAGUCAGAUCUAAUGGUUAUCUCCCUUGUUCCCUGAACAUCGCUGUUAUCCUGUUCUUUCUUCAAGGUACUCAGACUUCAUAUUGUUUAAAUGCACAUGCUUUACGAACAAUUUAUGCAGUUAACGAAACCAUCACAGGGUCCUGAGGCGACAGGCAUCCUCAACUUAUGAAGAUGAUGGGAUUAAGAGAUUAAAGACAGGCACAGGAAAUCACAAGAGUAUUGAUUGGGGGAGUGAUAAAUGUCCAUGAAGUUUUCACAAUUUAUGUUCAGAGACUGUAGUAAAGACAGGCAUAAGAAAUUGUAAAAGUAUUAAUUUGGGGAACUAAUAAAUGUCC